AGCAAAACACAGCUGGCAUGUCUAAUUUUAGCCUUGACUGCCUUGAAAAGGGACCCUUAAAGGAAAUAUAUUUUCGCUGAAACCAUUUGUAUUAUAAUGUAACAGCUGACAGACAUGUCAGAAUAUUACUUAUUAUUGGUGGGGAAAAACUCUGUCAGGUAAUUGUGCUUUUUUUUGUGAUGACAUCGGGAAAGUGAUUAAAGCAUCCCUGAAUCAAAAUCAUCAUAGAUAGACAGUGAGAGAACCAGAGCUUUUAUUUAUGAAGACGCCUGUAAACCUAAUGGGAUACCUCCUUUGAUGCUUACAAAACGGAAGUAAGGGAAAUACUGCAGCUUUCUGGACUGCAUACCCUGCUCCCUGGAGAGGUUCCACCCACCAGCUGGAAGGAGAGGAAGUGAAUGAAAGGACAGGAGGAGCCCGAACACCAUGUCACUCUGGAAGGGAGACAGCAGCAACCAGGCUGUGCAAGUGAGUGGUGGAAGACGAAGGAUCUCUGAAGCCUCAUCAGUCAUCGGGACCAUCAGGAAUAGUGGUUUAAGAGGACGCUCGGCCUGGGGCACCAUACCGUGUCAUCGAGUUCCCUGCCUCGGAGAUAAAGAUUCCAGCUACAUGGGUAAACGCCUGGAUCAGCCACAAAUGUACCCCCAGUACACUUACUACUAUCCUCACUGUCUCUAAACCAAGGUGAUAUUAAUUUUGUAUCGCAUUAGCCAGACUCCACUGUCUUCUUAAUAAAUAAAUAUGCGGAGAGUGACCAAGGCGUGCCUGAGUGAUCUGUGCUGCCACCGGGACUCGUUGAUGGGAUUAGUGUUCGGUAAUUCAUGCUGUAGUUAGCUCUUAUUUAUUCUGUCUCCUCCAACAAUGCCUAUUUGUAAACCAGACGAGGCAGCAGACUUUCCGAAUUCUAUUAAAAAUUGUUGCUUUUUUUUCUUUCUUUUUCAAUCGCUCCAUGACUCGCCCUGCCCCUGCAAGGUCUCCUCACAUUGCUUUUUGCCCUUGUGAGCAUUUAGUUUGUGGGGCUGCUGCUUUAGUAGACCAGCCCUCCUGCUCCCGUGCAGUGCAGUGUGUUUUAACUCUUUGGGGGAUUGGGUGGAGAAUGCUGUCUGCCUUCCUCAAGGAAAUGGCAAAGCAAGGGCUAGUCUAAAAGAGGAAAUUUAUAGUCAUUCCUCAUCCCCCCCCC